UUUUAGAACGUCCAAAAUCUUCUUCUUCUCCUACCUUUACAAUUCUUUGUUAAACUCUCUCAACACAGUUUCUAAGAAGUUUUCAAAUCUGACCCGUGAUCAUCUCUUAUCCUUUUUUCUUUAAUCUUCUACAUUAAGUUUUCAAUGUUGUCAUAUAUUUAUUUUUCUGUGUUAUUUGACAUGUCAUUUGGUAGUUAAAAAAAAACAUGAAGAUUGGUGAACUUCAAGAUCAAUGGAGGAUAAAAAUAUGUUCAGGUAUCGAGAUCCAUCUCCAUCCUUGGACAACUUGCUCUUCUUAUUCUACAAGGAGAAGAAGAAAGAGUAUACAAAGAAUAUUGGAGUUUAAGAGAUGGAAUGAAGAAAUUUGAAACAAAAGCAAGAAUGAUGGCUGAAACCUAUGUCGAUUGUGUUUGAUAUGUUGUUUUCUCCCAUUUUUGUAAAUUGUUUUUAACUGUGAUGUAUAAUAGAAAAGUAUAAUGAAAGAUUUUAAUUUUA